CAGUCGCCACGGUAAUACGUAGGGUGCAAGCGUUAAUCGGAAUUACUGGGCGUAAAGCGUGCGCAGGCGGUCCGCUAAGACAGAUGUGAAAUCCCCGGGCUUAACCUGGGAACUGCAUUUGUGACUGGCGGGCUAGAGUAUGGCAGAGGGGGGUAGAAUUCCACGUGUAGCAGUGGAAUGCGUAGAGAUGUGGAGGAAUACCGAUGGCGAAGGCAGCCCCCUGGGCCAAUACUGACGCUCAUGCACGAAAGCGUGGGGAGCAAACAGGAUUAGAUACCCGUGUAGUCCCUGUCUCUUAUAC
rnacentral:rRNA from 1 species